rnacentral:lncRNA from 1 species
UUUAAUCAAUGAUGCCAUAAGUAUUUCUUCUCUUCUCCUCGCACGCUUUUCUAUUCUUACCAAAAUUAUCACCCUUAGUCUUUAGUUAUUAUGAACUUUGCUUGCUUCUGUAGUUAGAAAUCUUUAGGAUGAAUUUUCUACAUUAUUACGGACAUCAUUUAUAAAAUCGUAUGGAUAACUAGUAAGCUUAGACAAAGAAGUGGUUUUAUUAGCACUCCUCUCUUUAUUAGUCUCUCCAUUAUUAAUUUUAUAUUUCCUUCUAAAUGAUUUUUUGAGUAAUUAAGUUUGCAAUUUUGUUUGUUUCUGCCGAAACAGAAACGACAAUGUUUUCCAGAGCAGAUAAUGAAGGUCUUUUGAACAUUCCUGUAUUUUCAGAAACAUGAAGAUUAUUCUCUGUAUUUUCUAUAACCUUUAGAGCCUGAAUGUACAUAUGUUGUUGUGCGUCCAUUUAACUUGUUUAUACUACUGUUAUCAGUUAUACAAUGUGUAGUUCAGGCCGAUUGUAUGAAUAAUUCAAUUAAAUAAUUAAUAUUUUAUAGAGAAGUGGAUAAACCCCAGUUUAAAUAUGCUUAAUAUUCAAAGUAAUUUUUUAAGUAAAGUAUUGCGUACAUAAUCAUAUAAUCCACUUUAUUAAUUAAUUUUGGAACUUUUUUAUACAUAACAAAAAAUCGAUAUUCCUUUGUAAAGGAUUUGAGUUAGUUGUUUCAAAGAUACACUUUAACAAAAACAUUGUGGAAAACUGUGACAACAUGCUCAAUCACAUUUAUAUUUUGCUAGAAAAAAGAAGUUUGGACUAUUGUAACAGCCAACUGGUUGAAAGCCACGUCAAUUAAGGAAAAUUAAGUUGUCCUUUAAUCCUAUCCUUCAAGUUAGUGCCUGCAGAUUUGUUGCUGAAGUGAAUUGAAUGUGUUAACAUGCAUUUGCUCUGUUUUUGAUGGUAAACUGUGAAAUAUUGUUAAGAAAUACCGACGACGAGCAGAGGGGCUAUAGUCUUUGCAGAAGCUUCUUUCUGUAUAUUCUAAAGGAAAAAAGUGCUGAAAUUAGUGACAAACAAAAUGCAUCAGCCUCACAUAUUACAGCCAGAUGAAGAGGAGUUGUAAAGUACUACAAUAAGAUCUUGACCGAUUCCAUCUCGAUGUUUAGUAUUCAUCGAUAUAUAAACCGAUAGUAGGAAAACUCAACACGACAUUCCAAAAGCUUCUGAUCCAAAAUUUCCUGAAGUUAUUCGAUCAUCGAUAAGAAGAUCAUUGAUUGUUAUGAAUUUCUAUAAUAAAUCAGGGAUUCUUAGUGAUGAAAUUUCGGCUCUGGAGAACGAAUACUAUCCAAAAAAAUAUCAAAAUAACAAUUGAACAAUCUUGCAAUGUAUUUUAUCGAACUGUUGGCGAGUCUUUCAUUCAUUGUAGUUUUUACAAAAGAAAAAUAUAAUAAGUAUUUGAAGGCUCAUAAAUUUGAAUGUACUAAGAAAGAUUCUAGAGGACAGAACUAUUAUUUUACAAUCUGCUUUAUAUCCUCCUAAUUUUCUUUAUGGACGUCAAAUGGAAUCAGAUGCUCAAAAAUCUUAUCAAGACAUAGAUCAUUGUAAGUUUAUUUAUGUGAAGGUUUAAUAACGCCAUAACACAUUGUCUUGUGGCAUCCUCUAAUGACAUUGUUCAUAAUUUACUGAUCAACUUUUUUCUUCUGAAAAUAAAGUGGACUAGUUCCAGAAAAGAUCAGACUAUUGAAGUAUCAUUAAUAAGAAACAACUAACUUUAGCGUGGAUCUCAAUGUUAAACUCAAAUACAAGUACUAGUAUAUAUAUAUAUCGUGGAGAAUGAUAUAAAUUAUUUGCACAUGCAAUUAAAUAUUUUAAAUUCAUAGAAGUAAAAAGUAGGAAUUUACCGAUGCAUCGGAAACAGUAUCGAAAUCGGCAAGAAUCAGCGUUUUUAAACUAUCAGAUAUCGGAAUUGGGGCACUACUACCGAUACAUAUUUAUAUGCAGUAUUAAGAAAAAAAAAUCUAAUUUUUUAAAAUUUCAUUAUUCUAAAUAAUGAACCAAUGAAUGAAUGUGAGAAGAGUAAUAUAAAAUAACCUAGAUUUAAUUUGUAAAGAUUUUACAUGUAGGAAUAUCAGAAGUGCAAUAAUAAUAAACUUUUAUAGUAAAAUUCAGGUCAUGACAUGUUCUUGGUCUAAAAUCACGUUUAUAAUUGUCAUAACAAGUUAUUAAACACAAAAAUGGUUUUUAAACCUUCAACAAAUCUAGAUUUGACUUUAAGAUCUUUUAAAACUGUUCACGUUUCUAGAGUAUUGUUACGAUUCAGAACCAUAUUCGGCCAAUAAAUAACCAAUACACAAAUUGCACACAGAGAUAAAUUAAAACUCGAGACCACUGUAUAUAUCCCUCUAAAUGUAUUUGAUGUGGCUCUCUAAAACUGACUUGCUAAGGCGGUAAGAAUUAUGUGGAAAAAAAUCCACGUGAAAUAGGAAUGCUCCCUUGCACCAGUAGUUCCAACAUCAGGACUGUCAUGUCUCACGCAUUUGGCAUGAUGUUGACAUAUUCUUCCUUACGUUCAACAUGGAUGUGAACUGAAGUCCAUUAACAACCCACUCGCUUUUAAUUAGAAGUAAGUUGGACUCCACUUUGCUUCAUAUAUGACAAAA